rnacentral:tRNA from 1 species
AGCGAGGUGGCAGAGGGUUUAUGCGGUAGAUUGUAAAUCUGGUGAUAGGGGUUAAAGUCCCUUUCUCGUUA